UGGGGAAUAUUGCACAAUGGGGGAAACCCUGAUGCAGCGACGCCGCGUGAGCGAAGAAGGUUUUCGAAUCGUAAAGCUCUGUCCUAUGAGAAGAUAAUGACGGUAUCAUAGGAGGAAGCCCCGGCUAAAUACGUGCCAGCAGCCGCGGUAAUACGUAUGGGGCGAGCGUUGUCCGGAAUUAUUGGGCGUAAAGGGUACGUAGGCGGUCUAUUAAGUCAGGUGUGAAAGCGUGAGGCUUAACCUCAUUAAGCACUUGAAACUGAUAGACUUGAGUGAAGGAGAGGAAAGUAGAAUUCCUAGUGUAGCGGUGAAAUGCGUAGAUAUUAGGAGGAAUACCGGUGGCGAAGGCGACUUUCUGGACUUUUACUGACGCUCAGGUACGAAAGAGUGGGGAGCAAACAGG
rnacentral:rRNA from 1 species